UACGUAGGGUGCGAGCGUUGUCCGGAAUUAUUGGGCGUAAAGAGCUUGUAGGCGGUCUGUCGCGUCUGCUGUGAAAAUCCGGGGCUCAACCCCGGACGUGCAGUGGGUACGGGCAGACUAGAGUGUGGUAGGGGAGACUGGAAUUCCUGGUGUAGCGGUGAAAUGCGCAGAUAUCAGGAGGAACACCGGUGGCGAAGGCGGGUCGCUGGGCCGAUACUGACGCUGAGGAGCGAAAGCGUGGGGAGCGAACAGG
rnacentral:rRNA from 1 species